CCGCUACGACUAAAUAGCCCAGCCGGCUUUUGCAGGUUGCAGGCUUCUUACUCGGACUCCUGGCUUAAGCCAGUGGAAGUUGGCGGCAAUAACAGGUCUGUGAUGCCCUUAGAUGUCCUGGGCUGCACGCGCGCUACACUGACGGAGCCAACGAGUUCAUUCCUUUCCCGAAAGGGCCGGGUAAUCUUGUUAAACUCCGUCGUGCUGGGGAUAGAGCAUUGCAAUUAUUGCUCUUCAACGAGGAAUGCCUAGUAAGCGCGUGUCAUCAGCACGCGUUGAUUACGUCCCUGCCCUUUGUACACACCGCCCGUCGCUACUACCGAUCGAGCCGCUUAAUGAGGCCUUCGGAUCGGCGCUGGAUGUUGGUAACGGCCGCCGGCGCUGAAAAGUUGGUCAAAUUUGGCGACUUAGAGGAAGUAAAAGUCG
rnacentral:rRNA from 1 species